AAUGAACGUUGGCGGCGUGGAUUAGGCAUGCAAGUCGAGCGAGAACCCCGCGAGGGGGGACAGCGGCGCAAGGGACAGUAAUGUGUAGAUCAUCUGCCCUCAGGUCCGGGAUAGCUGCGGGAAACUGCAGGUAAUACCGGAUAACAUCUCCGGAUCAAAGGUGUGAUUCCGCCUGAGGAUGAGUCUGCAUCCUAUUAGCUAGUUGGCAGGGUAACGGCCUACCAAGGCAUUGAUGGGUAGCGGGUGUGAGAGCACGACCCGCGUCAUUGGGACUGAGACACUGCCCAGACACCUACGGGUGGCUGCAGUCGAGAAUCUUCGGCAAUGGGCGCAAGCCUGACCGAGCGACGCCGCGUGUGGGAUGAAGGCCUUCGGGUUGUAAACCACUGUCAGAGGGGAUGAAAUGCAGGUGGGUUCUCCCAUCUGUUUGACAUAGCCUCAGAGGAAGGACGGGCUAAGUUCGUGCCAGCCGCCGCGGUAA
rnacentral:rRNA from 1 species